rnacentral:rRNA from 1 species
UACGUAGGGGGCGAGCGUUGUCCGGAGUUACUGGGCGUAAAGGGCGUGCAGGCGGUGCGGUAAGUUUAGCGUGACAGUCUCCGGCUUAACUGGAGAAGGCCGCUGAAAACUGCUGGACUUGAGGGCCAGGAGAGGGACAUAGAAUUCCGGGUGGAGUGGUGAAAUGCGUAGAUAUCCGGAGGAAUACCAAGGCGAAGGCAGUGUCCUGGCUGGCAACUGACGCUGAGGCGCGAAAGCUAGGGGAGCGAACAGG